rnacentral:rRNA from 1 species
CUACGGGGGGCUGCAGUGAGGAAUUUUGCGCAAUGGGGGAAACCCUGACGCAGCAACGCCGCGUGAGCGAAGAAGGCCUUCGGGUCGUAAAGCUCUGUCAAGUGGGAAAAAAAUUCUUUGAUGAACAGUCAAAGGACUUGAUUGUACCACUGGAGGAAGCACCGGCUAACUCCGUGCCAGCAGCCGCGGUAAUACGGAGGGUGCAAGCGUUGUUCGGAAUUACUGGGCGUAAAGAGCGUGUAGGCGGUUUGACAAGUCAGAUGUGAAAGCCCCGGGCUCAACCCGGGAAGUGCAUUUGAAACUGUUUCACUAGUGUAUGGGAGAGGAGAUUGGAAUUCCUGGUGUAGAGGUGAAAUUCGUAGAUAUCAGGAGGAACACCCGUGGCGAAGGCGAUUCUCUGGACCAAUACUGACGCUGAGACGCGAAAGCGUGGGGAGCAAACAGGAUUAGAUACCCUCGUAGUC